UUCACGAUGGCUCUUGCAUCAAAAGGGCGAAUGAAGCUUUUCAGGUAGAUUUUCAGCAUCUGUGAGAAGAUGGGGCAUGAGCACAGGGACAGGGGAAAUGCAUUUGCCAAGUUUAGAACCCACUUGAACCUGAAAGGCUGGGAAAUUGCAAAGUGAACUCGGGCUUUCUGGCGUCUGAAAUUGCCCUUCUGCUACUUUGGACCACAUGGAGUGGAGUGCGAGGCAGCCUAGAGGUGAUUUUCCAUGUUUCAAUAAAAAAACAAACACACAAAUGGCA